GGGGAAUAUUGCACAAUGGGCGAAAGCCUGAUGCAGCAACGCCGCGUGAGCGAAGAAGGCCUUUGGGUCGUAAAGCUCUGUCGAGAAGGAAGAUAAUGACGGUACUUCUCGAGGAAGCCCCGGCUAACUACGUGCCAGCAGCCGCGGUAAUACGUAGGGGGCGAGCGUUAUCCGGAAUUAUUGGGCGUAAAGAGUGCGUAGGUGGUUGUUUAAGCGUGGGGUGAAAGGCAAUAGCUUAACUAUUGUAAGCCCCGCGAACUGGGCGACUUGAGUGCAGGAGAGGAAAGCGGAAUUCCUAGUGUAGCGGUGAAAUGCGUAGAUAUUAGGAGGAACACCAGUGGCGAAGGCGGCUUUCUGGACUGUAACUGACACUGAGGCACGAAAGCGUGGGGAGCAAAC
rnacentral:rRNA from 1 species